ACGGUCAGCGGCUGUGACGGGUUCUGGCGGUUUCACCUGGACCUCGGAUCUGGUUUCUGGAGUUCUGCUGAGCCAACGUGAGGAUUCCCACCGUUUAGGAAGAUCAAUCUGUGAGGAAUUUGUUUCUGGACAGGAUUAUUAAGGAGAGAAGAUGUCUUUAAAGCGCCGACUGGUCUCCAUGUUUCUGUGCUGUGUUUACUGCGUGGCCUCACUCUUCUGCCUCCAUCCAAACCGCAGCAAUAUUGUCUCAGUGGGAGGGCGGAGUCUGUCGACCGUCUUCCAACAACUUUACCAGCGUGUCAUCCGAAUGCUGAGAACCACGCUGUGACUUCACACCACUUCCUGUGUUCGAAAGAGCCACCCUGGAUCUCCUGUCACUGUGACCGUGACCGAGCAUGCCUCCCAAAAGAGCAAGAACAAAUGAAUAAAAGAAGAGAAAAGAAAAGAGGAAUAAUAUGUGUGGGACUGCAGAGUUUGAAUUGACUCAUAUUUGUCUGAACAGCUUUCCAAAUGGCCAGAGAAGAAGAUGAAAACAGAUUUAUUUUUCUACACUUGACAAUGUAUGUUUGAUCACGAGUAAAAAUUGUUGGAUAGAUAAUUCUGUUAAAAUCCAAAAAAAAAAUCAGUUGAAUACAAAGUAAAAAUGUUUUACUUGGUAGAAUAACUUGUAGUGUAUUAGUGUGGUUCAGAAGAGAAAAGUUAACUAAUCAAAUGUCUUGACGGUUUGCAAGAUUACCCAGAGCAGAAGUUGCAGCAUCCUAUGAAAGUAUUCGUACAGUUUCAGUUUUUCUAUAACAUUAAUCACUAAGGUUUGAUUUAUGCAGACAAAAACUUGUAAUUUCUUGGCUUCAGGAGGACACAUUCCUUACAUCUAACCCAUGUUGUUUGUGAAGAGGUUUCAGUUUUGUCAAGUUUUGAUGAGUUACAUUGUUACUUUAUCUACUUUAUUGCAAUGUAUAGUCUUUUUGAUAUCUUUAAUGUGUACCAUAAAUUAUAUUUAUAAUUUACAGCAUUUACAAUUUAAAUUUUUGAGAGUCUAAUUCUAAACUACAUACUUAAAAUACAUGUGAAAAGGUGAAAAAAAAAUUCCAGUGAAAAGUAAAGUUACUUUUGAAACGGGAUGUUUGGAUGAGAACUGAACCGAAACUUCGGGCCUGCAACUAAGUUCUUUAAAUCUAAAGUAAUUAUUUUUUUCAACAUUAUAGCGAAAAACAGCAGAUAUUAUGUCAGUAGGUUUGUGAUAAUAGACUAAAUUUAUCAUGUGAAACUAAUUUGGUGAGUCAGAAAGACGAGAUCUAAGAUGGCGAAGAAGAAAUUAUAACUGAUAAUAAGAAGGAUAAUAUGUAAGUUAGAAAGAAAAGCUAUAAGAAAGUCAGAAGAAAGUAGGUAAAACAAGUCUGAUGAAAAAAAAGGCUAACUGACACAAAUUUAGAUGGUUCAUAAUGUUUAAACAUGACCUCCAUAACUAUUACUAUUUAAUCUGUUUAGCUGCUUAUAGGAGCUAACAGAAGAGCAACAGGUCCCUGAAACACUUUUCCGUUUUGUGCUAGAAAAUCUAAACAGCAGUUAUAUUGUUGAGUGAAACAAUAACCAACAUCAGUUUCAAUGGGCAGCAUUAACAUGCCUUUCCUAAGAUGUGGAUUUUGUACUAGCACUGCAGACUAAAUGGUAUUUUGCAUUCCUUAUAGACUAAUUAAUUACAGCCGUUAACCAAAAACAGCUAUUCAGUGAGUUUGACUUUGAGUUAAGAGAGUUAAUUUGAGUUAAGUUUCUUUUUUUGUUGGACUUGUGAUUUUGCAAAGAAGUGUGAAAAUUUAAGAUGGCGGAUCAUUUCAAGCUGUUUAUCUGAAUGUCAUUUUAGGAAGCAAAAUCUUGGGAAAAACAUGUUGUAGUGAUGUAAAUUUUAACACACUUGCAUGGAAUGAGUGAAUGGAAAGUAUUAUAAAUUGCAAAGUAAAUAAAUAACUUAAAUGAACUUUUCUAUAUAACAAAUGAGUCGACUGCUGAUGAGAUAAAAGCAAGAUAAUGCUGUGUCUGUGUUUCAAAUAGAUGCAGUACCCUGCUGUUUGUGUCACUGAUUUCAUGAAAUACAAACUUACAUGGGUGAAAAUAAACAACUUGAACUGGU